rnacentral:rRNA from 1 species
AGUGAACGCUGGCGGUAGGCCUAACACAUGCAAGUCGAACGGCAGCACAGUAAGAGCUUGCUCUUACGGGUGGCGAGUGGCGGACGGGUGAGGAAUACAUCGGAAUCUACUUUUUCGUGGGGGAUAACGUAGGGAAACUUACGCUAAUACCGCAUACGACCUACGGGUGAAAGCAGGGGAUCUUCGGACCCUGCGCGAUUGAAUGAGCCGAUGUCGGAUUAGCUAGUUGGCGGGGUAAAGGCCCACCAAGGCGACGAUCCGUAGCUGGUCUGAGAGGAUGAUCAGCCACACUGGAACUGAGACACGGCCCAGACUCCUACGGGAGGCAGCAGUGGGGAAUAUUGGACAAUGGGCGCAAGCCUGAUCCAGCCAUACCGCGUGGGUGAAGAAGGCCUUCGGGUUGUAAAGCCCUUUUGUUGGGAAAGAAAAGCAGCAGGUUAAUACCCCGCUGUUCUGACGGUACCCAAAGAAUAAGCACCGGCUAACUUCGUG